GUUGAAAGGGACAGAGAGGAGAAAUAUCAUUGUUUGAAUCUGCAUCCAUCCUUCUUUGCUAUGUUGUUGAAAGCAUUGCUUUUUUACUCUGUUGACUUGUGGAUGUAAACAUCUUAUUAAAGAAGAUAAACGCUUGCCACUUGUCGAGGAGUUAUCUGUCUGCAUAUCUGUACUCAUAACGACAGUGAGGGCAGAACAGUAGCAGUGAUAACACCUCUUCUUAAUCUAUGGAUUAACCUUCAGCAGCGUUUCUAUCGUUUUAAUGCCAUUGAACACAACUGUUAAUCAGAAACAGCAAAAGCUCACCAAGCUUUUAGACCGCUCUGACUCCAACACCAUGUGCAGCCUCAACAUUUCCCCCAAACCAAGGACGCGGCCUCGUGGAAUUCCAAGUAUGCUGGAGAUUGGAACAGUCCUUCGGCGGCACGCGAUGACGUAGCAUGUUGGCUUGGAAGCCAGUAUCCUCGAGAUUGAGAAACGGCCCCUGUGUUUGCCUUCCUGUCGUUAGUUUUCCUGGUGUGUCUGAUUAUGUUUCUGCCUCCCCUGCCCAGCUGUGUCUUGUCC